rnacentral:rRNA from 1 species
CCUACGGGAGGCAGCAGUGGGGAAUAUUGGACAAUGGGCGAAAGCCUGAUCCAGCCAUGCCGCGUGUGUGAAGAAGGUCUUCGGAUUGUAAAGCACUUUAAGUUGGGAGGAAGGGCAUUAACCUAAUACGUUAGUGUUUUGACGUUACCGACAGAAUAAGCACCGGCUAACUCUGUGCCAGCAGCCGCGGUAAUACAGAGGGUGCAAGCGUUAAUCGGAAUUACUGGGCGUAAAGCGCGCGUAGGUGGUUUGUUAAGUUGGAUGUGAAAUCCCCGGGCUCAACCUGGGAACUGCAUUCAAAACUGACUGACUAGAGUAUGGUAGAGGGUGGUGGAAUUUCCUGUGUAGCGGUGAAAUGCGUAGAUAUAGGAAGGAACACCAGUGGCGAAGGCGACCACCUGGACUAAUACUGACACUGAGGUGCGAAAGCGUGGGGAGCAAACAGGAUUAGAUACCCUGGUAGUCCACGCCGUAAACGAUGUCAACUAGCCGUUGGGAGCCUUGAGCUCUUAGUGGCGCAGCUACGCAUUAAGUUAGUACCGCCGUCGGGAGGUACGGCCGCGAACGGUUAAAACGUAACGAAGUAGUAAGUUAGUACGGCGUGAGAGUGACCGACGGACGACGACGAGGGAGGAGG